GUCUAGUCUGCCCACUGAAUUUAAUUUUUAAUGGCCGCAGUAUUUUGACUGUGCAAAGGUAGCAUAAUCAUUAGUUUUUUAAUUAAAAGCUUGUAUGAAAGGCUGGACGAGGUAGAAUCUGUCUCUAUUUAAAUUAUAGUAGAAUUUAAUUUUUAAGUUAAAAAGCUUAAAUGUUAUUAAAAGACGAGAAGACCCUAUAGAUCUUUAUAAUUUAUUAAAUGAAAUUAAUUUAGAAUUAUUUAUUUUUUAUUUUUAAUAAAUUAUUUUAUUGGGGUAAUAGAAAGAUUGAGUUAAUUCUUUUUUGUAAUAAACAUUGAUUUAUGAAUAUUAAAUGAUCCAGUUUUACUGAUUAUAAGAUUAAGUUACCUUAGGGAUAACAGCGUAAUUUUUUUAGAGAGUUCAUAUCGAUAAAAAAGUUUGCGACCUCGAUGUUGGAUUAAAGAUUAUUUUGGGUGUAGAAGCUUAUUAAUUUUGGUCUGUUCGACCAUUAAAUCUUUACAUGAUCUGAGUUCAGACCGGCGUAAGCCAGGUCGGUUUCUAUCUUUAAUAAAAUAAAAUAUUUUAGUACGAAAGGACCAAAUAUUUAAUAUAUUUAUAUUUGAUUUAUUGAAUAUUAUUAAAGUUUUUAUUAUUUUGGCAGAUUAGUGCAAUGAAUUUAGAAUUCAUUUAUGUAAUUUAUUUACAAAUAAUACUUGUUUUAUAUAGAUAUUGUUUUUUCUUUAGUAUGUAUAUUAUUAUUAAUUGUUUGUGUUUUAGUGGGGGUUGCUUUUUUAACUUUAUUAGAACGAAAGGUUUUAGGUUAUAUUCAAAUUCGUAAGGUC
rnacentral:rRNA from 1 species